AUACUUGCCUGGUGUCGGGAUUACCGUGAUCAACGAGGCGGUGUAUCCAGUGAGAGGCGCGGGCAUUGCACUGAGCUCGUGCUGACUGCUGCCACUACCCCAAUCUGGGGCAGAUGGGGCAUGCAAUUUUUUGGUAGUGGGGGACUGCGUUCGCGCUAUCCCCCU